GAAGACUUCACAUGUAGUGACAGAUUCAUAACGGUUUUUUUUUUGUGGUAGUAAAAAAUUGGAAGUAAAGUAGGGGGUUCAUUGAUUAGGGAAGCAAUGAACAAAUUGUGAUAUAUUCAUGUAAUAGAAUAUUAUAAUAUCCCAAGAUACUAUAACAUGGAAAGAUUCACCAAUUAAGAGCUGAUGUAAAUUAAGAAACACAGAAAGAUUCGUCAGUUAACGCAGUGAAGUAAUCAGAACCAAGAAAACAAUAUGCAUAAUAACUACGACAAUGCUCAUAAAAAGCAAAUGAAAACAAAGUUGAAUGCUGUGUGGUUGUAAUAACUGUUCUUAGCCCCAGAGAACAGAUGAGGAAAAGUACUUUGCUCUUUUUUCCUUGAAGAGGUAGAAUACUAUGGUUUCAGAUCAUUAUAUAUUCUAUCAGACUCAUUUGUGCAUAACGUGCUUGUACACAAUGCCUGGCAUGAAGUGUUUCAUAAAUGCCUGUUGACUGUUUUUGUGGCAAGGGAUCAGCAGAUGGGAGAAAAGGAUAGCAUACCUAAAAAUGACUCAUACAAAACCAAAGGGCAUCUAUAAAACAUUGAUUUUUAUAAACAAAGAAAAGAAAAUGGAUGUCUUGUAAUAAAAUAGUCUUCCCCACUUUUUUUUUUUCCCAAGCUGACAGCAUUAUAUCGGCUAUUUGUGGUUUCCGGGCAAGUCUUUUCAAAUUUUCAAAAUGGCUGAUUGGACAGAUGCUGGACAAAAUGGCAAAGUUUCUCAGAUUGGUAGACCAUGGAAAUACUGUGGACAUAUUGAGUAUAUACCUACAUUAGAGCAAAGGGCAUGACAAAGCCUCUCAUAUUAUUCUUUUGGACAAGAUAGAGACAAAUGGAUAGAAGUAUGUGCUGUGGGGAAUCUGUCCUUAUUCCUGCAUCAUUGACCAUUUUAAUUUCAGACACGGAAGAGAUGAAGGCAAAGAUGGCUUAUGAAAUCUGCAGAUGACACAAAUCUGGGAGGUAGAGAUGUAUGACAGGAUUCAAAAAGACAUUGACAAGCUAGAACAAUAGACUAAAUUUAACAAGAAGAAAUGUAAUGUUGAUAUAUGUAGACUUAUGUUAAAAAUUAGCUUCAUAGCCACUCGUGAAGAUUGGCUGCUAAAUCAAAAAAGGGUCCCCUCAGGAAGUCACAAUCAGAAAAAAAAAAAAAAAAAAAAAAAAGAAUUCAACAUCAGAACUGCACUAUUUCAGGUAAUACAAGUGUGACAUCAUUACUUCAAGCCAUUUAAGAGGUCUAUGCAUUGCGUAUGUGGAACGACCAAAGCUUCGGAGCCUCUAUUGCUGGAGACAAAUCACAAGAUCUUCAGGCAAAUGGAGGUGAAGGUGACUGGGGUGCGCAGUGACAGGACCGGCUGAAGAAAGUCGAUGAGUGUUGAUGGAAAAAUAAUGGCUGAAUGGAUGCUACACUAAUAAUGCUUUACAAACUGGUCCAGUUUAACUCCAUUAAGAA